CAUCCCCCUCUCAUCCAUCAAUCCCUCUCUCAUCCCACUAUCCAUCCCUCUCUCAUCCCUCUAUCCCUCCCUUUCUCAUCCCUCUAUAUCUCCAUCCAUCCCUCCCUUUCUCCAUCCCUCUCCAGUUUCUGUGACUUUUUAACUAUAUUCUUGGAAGGUGAGUGUGUGUGAAUGUGUGUGUGUGAAUGUGUGUGUGCACAAGCUUACGGCUAACACACAAACAAUCAGCACUUAUAGCUUCCGACAGUAAUCGAACGCGGCGUUCUCAAAAACACGAGAGCAUGACGCCACCAAAUGCCAUUACACACAAGGUGCUAAGUAUACACACAAGAGGUCGACUUCCUCUCAAUGCCUGAGAAACACAACAGAAUCAACAAAAAGGACAACAAUUCUUCUUUCUUUCACCAUUAUGCUGCAAAACCCAUUAUACUGACUUCACAAGCACAAUUACUAAAUGUGCUUGUGCAGUCUGAGAAAAAUACCAGUGAAAUAACACAGCCAUUACCGUAAUGCAGAGGUAGAGAGAAACAUACCAGUCAAAUAACACAGCCAGUACCGUAAUGUAGAGGUAGAGAGAAACAUACCAGUCAAAUAACACAGCCAUUACCAUAAUGCAGAGGUAGAGAGAAACAUACCAGUUAAAUAACACAGCUAUUACCAUAAUGCAGAGGUAGAGAGAAACAUACCAGUCAAAUAACACAACCAUUACCAUAAUGCAGAGAGAAACAUACCAGUCAAAUAACACAACCAUUACCAUAAUGCAGAGAGAAACAUACCAGUCAAAUAACACAACCAUUACCAUAAUGCAGAGAGAAACAUACCAGUCAAAUAACACAACCAUUACCAUAAUGCAGAGAGAAACAUACCAGUCAAAUAACACAGCCAUUACCAUAAUGCAGAGGUAGAGAGAAACAUACCAGUCAAAUAACACAACCAUUACCGUAAUGCAGAGGUAGAGAGAAACAUACCAGUCAAAUAACACAACCAUUACCAUAAUGCAGAGGUAGAGAGAAACAUACCAGUCAAAUAACACAGCCAUUACCGUAAUGCAGAGGUAGAGAGAAACAUACCAGUCAAAUAACACAGCCAUUACCGUAAUGCAGAGGUAGAGAGAAACAUACCAGUCAAAUAACACAGCCAGUACCGUAAUGCAGAGGUAGAGAGAAACAUACCAGUUAAAUAACACAGCCAUUACCGUAAUGCAGAGGUAGAGAGAAACAUACCAGUCAAAUAACACAGCCAGUACCGUAAUGCAGAGGUAGAGAGAAACAUACCAGUUAAAUAACACAGCCAUUACCGUAAUGCAGAGGUAGAGAGAUACAUACCAGUCAAAUAACACAGCCAGUACCGUAAUGCAGAGGUAGAGAGAAACAUACCAGUUAAAUAACACAGCCAUUACCGUAAUGCAGAGGUAGAGAGAAACAUACCAGUCAAAUAACACAGCCAGUACCGUAAUGCAGAGAGAAACAUACCAGUCAAAUAACACAGCCAUUACCAUAAUGCAGAGGUAGAGAGAAACAUACCAGUCAAAUAACACAGCCAUUACCGUAAUGCAGAGGUAGAGAGAAACAUACCAGUCAAAUAACACAACCAUUACCGUAAUGCAGAGGUAGAGAGAAACAUACCAGUCAAAUAACACAACCAUUACCAUAAUGCAGAGGUAGAGAGAAACAUACCAGUCAAAUAACACAGCCAUUACCAUAAUGCAGAGGUAGAGAGAAACAUACCAGUCAAAUAACACAGUCAUUACCAUAAUGCAGAGAGAAACAUACCAGUCAAAUAACCCAGCCAUUACCAUAAUGCAGAGGUAGAGAGAAACAUACCAGUCAAAUAACACAGUCAUUACCAUAAUGCAGAGAGAAACAUACCAGUCAAAUAACACAACCAUUACCGUAAUGCAGAGAGAAACAUACCAGUCAAAUAACACAGCCAUUACCGUAAUGCAGAGGUAGAGAGAAACAUACCAGUCAAAUAACACAGUCAUUACCAUAAUGCAGAGAGAAACAUACCAGUCAAAUAACACAACCAUUACCAUAAUGCAGAGGUAGAGAGAAACAUACCAGUCAAAUAACACAGCCAUUACCAUAAUGCAGAGGUAGAGAGAAACAUACCAGUCAAAUAACACAACCAUUACCAUAAUGCAGAGGUAGAGAGAAACAUACCAGUCAAAUAACACAGUCAUUACCGUAAUGCAGAGGUAGAGAGAAACAUACCAGUCAAAUAACACAGCUAUUACCAUAAUGCAGAGAGAAACAUACCAGUCAAAUAACACAGCCAUUACCGUAAUGCAGAGAGAAACAUACCAGUCAAAUAACACAGCCAUUACCGUAAUGCAGAGAGAAACAUACCAGUCAAAUAACACAGUCAUUACCGUAAUGCAGAGGUAGAGAGAAACAUACCAGUCAAAUAACACAGCUAUUACCAUAAUGCAGAGAGAAACAUACCAGUCAAAUAACACAGCCAUUACCGUAAUGCAGAGGUAGAGAGAAACAUACCAGUCACAUAACACAGCCAGUACCGUAAUGCAGAGAGAAACAUACCAGUCAAAUAACACAGCCAUUACCGUAAUGCAGAGGUAGAGAGAAACAUACCAGUCAAAUAACACAGCCAUUACCAUAAUGCAGAGGUAGAGAGAAACAUACCAGUCAAAUAACACAGCCAGUACCGUAAUGCAGAGGUAGAGAGAAACAUACCAGUCAAAUAACACAACCAUUACCGUAAUGCAGAGGUAGAGAGAAACAUACCAGUCAAAUAACACAACCAUUACCAUAAUGCAGAGGUAGAGAGAAACAUACCAGUCAAAUAACACAGCCAUUACCAUAAUGCAGAGGUAGAGAGAAACAUACCAGUCAAAUAACACAGCCAUUACCGUAAUGCAGAGGUAGAGAGAAACAUACCAGUCAAAUAACCCAGCCAUUACCAUAAUGCAGAGGUAGAGAGAAACAUACCAGUCAAAUAACACAACCAUUACCGUAAUGCAGAGGUAGAGAGAAACAUACCAGUCAAAUAACACAGCCAUUACCGUAAUGCAGAGGUAGAGAGAAACAUACCAGUCAAAUAACCCAGCCAUUACCAUAAUGCAGAGGUAGAGAGAAACAUACCAGUUAAAUAACACAGCCAUUACCGUAAUGCAGAGGUAGAGAGAAACAUACCAGUCAAAUAACACAGCCAUUACCAUAAUGCAGAGGUAGAGAGAAACAUACCAGUUAAAUAACACAGCCAUUACCAUAAUGCAGAGAGAAACAUACCAGUCAAAUAACACAACCAUUACCAUAAUGCAGAGGUAGAGAGAAACAUACCAGUCAAAUAACACAGCCAUUACCGUAAUGCAGAGGUAGAGAGAAACAUACCAGUUAAAUAACACAGCCAUUACCAUAAUGCAGAGGUAGAGAGAAACAUACCAGUCAAAUAACACAACCAUUACCAUAAUGCAGAGGUAGAGAGAUACAUACCAGUCAAAUAACACAACCAUUACCGCAAUGCAGAGGUAGAGAGAAACAUACCAGUCAAAUAACACAGCCAUUACCAUAAUGCAGAGGUAGAGAGAAACAUACCAGUCAAAUAACACAGCCAUUACCAUAAUGCAGAGGUAGAGAGAAACAUACCAGUUAAAUAACACAGCCAUUACCGUAAUGCAGAGAGAAACAUACCAGUCAAAUAACACAACCAUUACCAUAAUGCAGAGGUAGAGAGAAACAUACCAGUCAAAUAACACAGCCAUUACCAUAAUGCAGAGGUAGAGAGAAACAUACCAGUUAAAUAACACAGUCAAAUAACACAGCCAUUACCAUAAUGCAGAGAGAAACAUACCAGUCAAAUAACACAGCCAUUACCAUAAUGCAGAAAUCAUCAGUUCAACGUCUAGUCUAGUUUUACAUUUGGUUGAGUUGUCAACUAAUGUGAAUUCAACGUGAAAUGAAUAAAACAAUCUCACCGUGUCAUUGGAUUAAAAGUAGGGUGAAAAAUAGAGGGAGUGUCCUUAAGUUGAUGACUGUUUUCAAAUCCAAUCAGUUUUCCACGUUGAUUCAACAUCACAUAUAUUUUUGUUGGUUGAAAUGACGUGGAAACAACGUUGAUUUAACCAGUUUGUGCCCAGUGGUUUGAUGACACAGUAAUCACCAGUCUACUCCAGACCCUGGUUAAAACACGACCCCGGGAACCCAGGCUAAAGGGAUGAGAGGAAUAGUAUGCUCCAGACCCUGGUUAAAACACAACCCCGGGAACCAAGGCUAAAGGGAUGAGAGGAAUAGUCUGCUCCAGACCCUGGUUAAAACACGACCCCGGGAACCAAGGCUAAAGGGAUGAGAGGAAUAGUCUGCUCCAGACCCUGGUUAAAACACGACCCCGGGAACCCAGGCUAAAGGGAUGAGAGGAAUAGUCUGCUCCAGACCCUGGUUAAAACACGACCCCGGGAACCAAGGCUAAAGGGAUGAGAGGAAUAGUAUGCUCCAGACCCUGGUUAAAACACAACCCCGGGAACCAAGGCUAAAGGGAUGAGAGGAAUAGUAUGCUCCAGACCCUGGUUAAAACACGACCCCGGGAACCAAGGCUAAAGGGAUGAGAGGAAUAGUAUGCUCCAGACCCUGGUUAAAACACGACCCCGGGAACCCAGGCUAAAGGGAUGAGAAGAAUAAGUGAACUCAUCUGAAAGGAAGAUGCAUUGACAUUGACAAGGGCUCAUUCAACUCAGGUGAGAGUUUUCUUUCAAUUCAAUUCAAGGGCUUUAUUGGCAUGGGAAACAUGUGUUAACAUUGCCAAAGCAAAUGAGGUAGAUAAUAUACAA
rnacentral:lncRNA from 1 species